rnacentral:rRNA from 1 species
GACGAACGCUGGCGGCGUGCUUAACACAUGCAAGUCGAACGGAAAGGCCCCUUUGGGGGUACUCGAGUGGCGAACGGGUGAGUAACACGUGAGUAACCUGCCCUUGACUUCGGGAUAACUUCAGGAAACUGGGGCUAAUACCGGAUAGGAAUCCUUGCUGCAUGGUGGGGGUUGGAAAGCUUCGGCGGUUUUGGAUGGACUCGCGGCUUAUCAGCUUGUUGGUUGGGUAGUGGCUUACCAAGGCUUUGACGGGUAGCCGGCCUGAGAGGGCGACCGGCCACAUUGGGACUGAGAUACGGCCCAGACUCCUACGGGAGGCAGCAGUGGGGAAUAUUGCACAAUGGGCGGAAGCCUGAUGCAGCAACGCCGCGGGCGGGAUGACGGCCUUCGGGUUGUAAACCGCUUUCAGCAGGGGCGAAGCUUGUGGUGACGGUACCUGCAGAAGAAGCACCGGCUAACUACGUG